rnacentral:rRNA from 1 species
CAUCGCCGCGGUAAUACGUAGGGUGCAAGCGUUAAUCGGAAUUACUGGGCGUAAAGCGUGCGCAGGCGGUUAUAUAAGACAGAUGUGAAAUCCCCGGGCUCAACCUGGGAACUGCAUUUGUGACUGUAUAGCUAGAGUACGGCAGAGGGGGAUGGAAUUCCGCGUGUAGCAGUGAAAUGCGUAGAUAUGCGGAGGAACACCGAUGGCGAAGGCAAUCCCCUGGGCCUGUACUGACGCUCAUGCACGAAAGCGUGGGGAGCAAACAGGAUUAGAUACCCCUGUAGUCCCUGUCUCUUAUACA